rnacentral:snRNA from 1 species
CCCAAUUGCAGAACAUUUGA